rnacentral:pre_miRNA from 1 species
UCUCAUGAAUGAGCAUAAAAAGUGGUUUCUUAAGAUGGAAUCUACUCCGUGUGAAAAUGCUACGAA